UUAUGACAUUUGUGACAAGCUAGGAGGGAUAGCUAACGAAAAUACAAAAAAUCUUAGAAGACAGUAUGCCAUAAUGGAUAGAGCACUGGAGUUGGAGUCAGAGAGAUGUGAGUUGGAAUUUAUCUUCAGAUACUUUCCAGCUUUAUGGCAUUCUAUUAAAUGGGAAUAAUAUUUAUCUUUUAAGUGAAGAUAAUAUAUCAAAUAAAAUAAUAUAGAAAAGGCUCUAUAAACCUUAAAGAACUAUGUAAAUGCCAUUUGCUACUAUUAUUGCUGUUAUUAAUUGGACAGAUUGGAAAAUUGGACUGAAUUUAUCAGGAUACAGUUUAUUUUUUAUUAUUAUUUUUAAUUUGAAAAAAAAUUUCUUUACAAUAUUAUCCCUUGCACUCACUUCCGAUUUUAUCCCUCCCUCCCUCUACCCCCUCCCCCAAAUGGCAAGCAGUCUUAUACAUGUUGAAUAUGUCACAGUAUAUCCUAGAUACAAUAUAUGUGUGCAGAACCAAACAGUUCUCUUGUUGCCCAGGAAGAAUUGGAUUCAGAAGGUAAAAAUAGCCCGGGAAGAAAAACAAAAAUGCAAACAGUUUACAUUCAUUUCCCAGUGUUCUUUCUUUGGGUGUAGCUGCUUCUUUCCAUCGUUGAUCAACUGAAACUGAGUUAGAUCUUCUCUUUUUCAAAGAAAUCCACUUCCAUCAGAAUACAUCCUCAUACAGUAUUGUUGUUGAAGUAUAUAAUGAUCUCCUGGUUCAUUUCACUUAGCAUCAGUUCAUGUAAGUCUCUCCAAGCCUCUCUGUAUUCAUCCUGCUGGUUGUUUCUUACAGAACAAUAAUAUUCCAUAACAUUCAUAUACCACAAUUUAUCCAACCAACCUCCAAUUGAGGGGCAUUCAUUCAUUUUCCAGUUUCUAGCCACUUCAAACAGGGCUGCCAUACACAUUUUGGCACAUAAAAGUUUCUUUCCCUUCUUUAGUAUCUCUUUGGGGUAUAAGCCCAGUAGUAACACUGCUGAAUCAAAGGGUAUGCAUAGUUUGAUAACUUUUUGGGCAUAAUUCCUGAUUGCUCUCCAGAAUGGUUGGAUUCAUUCACAACUCCACCAAUAAUGCAUCAGUGUCCCACCAUCAGUGUCCCAGUUUUCCCGCAUUCCCUCCAACAUUCAUCAUUAUUUUUUCCUGUCAUCGUAGCCAAUCUGACAGGUAUGUAGUUGUGUUCUGGAUAUCUGAAGGAUUCAUCUACCAUACAGAAGGAUUAAAUUUGGGUAUAAGUAGAUAAAGGGAAAGGACUAGUUUAGUUCUGUCUUUAUGUCUCAAUUGACCAUCCCAAUCAAUCCCUUGUCCAUAGGGCAAUGACAUGGUAGAACACUGUUCUGCAGUCAGAAGACCUAGUUGUGGUAGCUCCUGCCUGGGGAACCUGCCUAUGGUCCAUCUUUCUAGAUCUCAGUGUAUCAGCUAGAAAAUGAGGGAGCUGGACUAGAUGGCUUCUGGAAUCCCAUUUCAGAUCUAAAUCUAUGAUCCAAUGAUGCUGUUGGUGCCUAAUAAGUGCUCACUGAAAUGAAUUAAGCUCCAAAAGCAAAAAUAGGACCAGCAAGUGGAAAUGUCAGGGUAGCAAGUUUUGGCCCAAUAUACUAUAGAAAUUUUGAAUUGGGGAUAACCAGAAUUAAGGAUACCUUCCUGAGGCAGGCCUGGCAUCAGGUGGAGACAUGCUUCCUUAAGGUGAACCAUUUAUGGAUGUCUCAAUUUUGGCAGCCUAUCAACUGGAAAAGGCAGAAGGCAAUCUUGUUGGUAUCCUCUUAACCCUGGGCUGUCUGUCAUACAAACCAUAGAUCUUAGAGCUGAGAGGGGCUUCAUGAGAGCAUCUGAACACAUGGAAUCUUAAUCAGAAAGAACCUUAGAGCUCAUCUCAUCCAGUCCAAAUCUAAACAAGAGCUUACUCUUGUUCUUUGCCAGCCAGUGGCCAUCCAGUCUUUGCUUGAAGAGCUCCAGAAAGAGGAAAUCUCAGUUUUCUGAGUCAAUCUAUUCUACUUUUACACAACUCUAAUUGUUAGGAGUAUUUUGCAACCAAAUUUGCCCACUGUUUCUAGUCUGAUUUUUUUUAUGGUAAAUAAAUUUUCCCUCUUCCCUCUCUUCCUCCUAAAGAUAGCAAGAAAUCUGAUAUAGGUUAUAUGUGUAUAAUCAUUUAAAACAUGUUUCCAUAUUAGUUAUCUUGUUAAAGAAAAAUCAGAACAAAAGGGGAAAACCAUGAGAAAAAAAUAAAAAUAGUAUGUUUCAAUCUGCAUUCAGUCUUCAUAGUUCUUUCUUUGGAUGUUGAUGGUAUUUUCCAUCACAAGUCUUAUUAGAAUUGCCUUGAAUCACUUCAUUGUUGAAAAGAGCCAAGUCUAUCACAGCUGAUCAUCACAUAAUUUUCUUGUUACUAUGAAAAUAUUCUCCUAGUUCUGCUCACUUCACUCAGCAUCAGUUUAUAUUAAUCUUUCCAGGUUUUUCUGAAAUCUGCCUCCUCACUAUUUCUUAUAGAAUAAUCCUAUUCCAUUACAUUCAUAUACCACAACUUGUUUAGACAGUCCCUAAUUGAUGAGUAUCUUCCCAACUCCAAUAUUCAUCAGCAUAAAAGUACACAGACAAAAAUGCUGUUUUCCUGAACUAGGUUAGUUAGCCUCUUCUGAGGCAGGCUGGUGGCUGAUACCUCUCCUGAAGAUAUUUGAUAAGCUUUAAUUAUGUUAUAUCUCAGAAUGCCCAAACUCAAGUGACCCACCAGUCUCAGCUUCCUCUAGUACAAAGCUUGCACUGCCACAUCUGAUAUAUUCAUAAUUUUUACUACAGAAAUAUUCCAUCAUAUUCAUGUAUCACACUUUGUUUAGUCUUUCCCUAAAUGAACAAAGUAGUUUGUUUCUACUUUGCUUUCACAAAAAGUGUUGCUAUAAUAUUUUGGUGUAUUUAAGAUCUUCCUGUGUUUGACCUCCUUCGGGUAUAUCUGCAUGUAUAUGUAUAUAUUGUGUACAUGUACAUAUAUAGUAACAAGAUCUUUUGGCUAAAAAGCAUUGUCAUUUUAAUCUUACUUUUUAAAAAGCAAAGUUUCACAUUGCUUUUUGGAACAUUUGUACUGAUUCAUAGUGCCACCAAAAAUGUUUUAGUAUAUGUCUUCCUAUAUCCCUUCCAAUUUUGACAAUUUCUAAAUUGUGACACUUGUCCAUUUGCUAAGUGUGUUUUGGAAAGAUCUUUCAUGUGAUUCUUGCAAUUUUCUGUGCAAAUUUCCUAUAACCACUUCACUGAAGAAUGACUCUUGUGUUGUUGAUUACGCUAUAUAUCUUGGAUAUCAGACCUUUAUCAGAGAUACUUAAUUCACAGAUGACAGUUUCUAUUCUUACAAAAGCUUUUCAAUUUCAUCUAAUUGGACUUAUCCAUUCUAUCUUUUGUGUUCUCCUUCAUUCUCUGUUUAGAUAAACAUUUUCCCCCUCUAAUGGAAUAUUAUUAUACCAUAAGAAAUAAAGAAGAAGAAUUCAGAGAAGCUAUAUGAAGUGAUACAGAGGGAAAUAAGAACCAUAAAAAUCACAUAUGCAAUGACUUCAACAAAAAUGUAAAUGACAAAAAAAUUAAUAAUUAUAAUGACCAAACUUUUCCUCUGAAGAAUAGUUGAGAAAACAUCUUUCUCUCCCUUUAUUGCAGAAGUAUAGGACUAAACAUGGAGAAUACUGCAUAUGGUAUCAGAUAUCUUAGAUAUUUUGUUUAGUUUUCUCCCCCUCUCCCCUUUUUAAAAAAAAGUUUUUAUUGCAGGGAUUUCAUGAUGGGUAGGGGAGUAGGAAUAGAUUAUAUUCAGAAAUGACAAUAUAAAAACAAACCCCACUAAUAAUGACAUAUUUUUUAAAAAUUAUCUUUUGUCAUAGUUGUGAAAAAUGUUGAUAUCUCUUUUACUCUAAUUUUUUAAAAAUGACCAUUUCAAGUUGAGUAACAAUUUUGGAACUUAUUAUGGUGUAAAAUACUGACUGAAAUCUCAUUUUUUUCUUUUUUUCACACACUAUUCUCCAAUUUUUCCAGCAGUUUUUGUCAAAAAAAAUUCAUCCCCAAUUAUUGGAUUCUUCGUUUAAAGUUAAAGUAACGUGUACAAAAUUACAUAACAAUGCUGAAUUGAAUUGAGAGUCACACAAAACUGAUUGGAUCUAUCAUGCUAGACUCAAUUGGAUCAAUUCAGAUCAGUCAGUCAAUAAGCGUUUAAGUACCAUGUGGCAGGCACUGUGUUAAACAAUGAAAAUACAAAAAGAUGCAAAAGAUCUGCCCUCAGAGAACUUAUGAUCUAAUCAAUACCCAAAGGAAAUAUGUAUAAACAAGCUAUAGGCAGAAUAAAUAGGAAACAGUUAACAAAGAAAAGAUACCUAAAUUAAGAGGGGAUGUUAAAUGCAUUUUAGAAUGUGGAAUUUUAGUUGAAACUUAAAGGUCAGGAAAGCCAGGAGGUAGAGAUGAGGAAAGAGAGCAUUCCAGGCAUGGGGGAAAGUCAGAGAAAAUGCCUGAAGCCAAGUGAUGAAUCAAAGAGUACAUGGUGAGAAGUAGGAUAUGUAUGUGUAGAAGAAGCUGGAUUAUAAAAAGGUUUACACACUAAACAGAAGAUUUUAUGUUUUACCCUGAAGGUGAUAUAGAGCCAAUGGAGUUUGUUGAAUAGGAGGUUGACAUGGUCAGAUACUAUACUUUAGGAAAAUCACUUUGGCAGUUCAAUGGAGAAUAGAUUGGAGUGGGAAAAGACUUAUGAUAGGCAGAUCUGCUAGUAAGCUAUUGCAAUAGACCAAUUGUGAGGUGAUGAGGGCUUGCUCUAGGCUAGUGAUAGUAUCAGAGGAGAGAGGGGUUGUAUUUGAGAGCUGAUGGAAAAAUGAAAUCAGCCCUUGGCAACAGAAUGAACAUGAAAGAUGAGGGCACCUAAGAUUAUGAACCUAGGGGACUGGGAGGAUGGUGUUGCCCUCUACGGUAAUAGGGGAGUUUAGAAGGGAGGAAGGUUUAGGAGAAAAAGAAUGGGUUUAUUUUGGAUAUAUUGAGUUUUGGAUGUCUACUAGAAUCCAGUUUGGUAUGUAUGAAGGGCAUUUGGAGAUGCAUGACUGGACAUCAGCAGAAAGAUUAGGGCAGGAUACAUAGAUUUGAAAAUCAACAAAAAAAAAUUUAAAUCCAUGGGAACUGAUGAGUUCACCAAGUGAAGUAGCAUAGAGGGAGAAGAGAAGAGUGCCUAGAUCAGAGCUUUGCGGGACACCUACAGCUAGAGGGUGUAACCUUGUGUGAAAAUAGCUAAGAAGAGUACCAGGAAAAAGCGGGUGUCCCAAAAACCUAGAGAGAAGAGAGCAUCAAGGGGAAGAGAGCACUCAAUAGUAUCAAGAUAUCUAGGAAAAUGAAGAUUGAAAAAAAGCCAUUUUAUUUGACAAUUAGGAAAUCAUUGGUAACUUCAGAGAGAACAGUGUUAAUGGAUGAGGUCAGAAGUCAGAUUGUAAGGGGUUAAGAAACAAAUAAAAGAAGAGAAAAUGGAAUCACUUAUUGUAGAUGGCCUUCUCAAAGGGUGUAGUAACCAAGGAUAGAAGAGAUGAGAUGAUAGCUAUCAGGGAAGGACCAAGUGAGAAUUUUUUGAGGAUGAGAGCUACAUGGACAUGUCUGAAGGUAAUAGGGAAGGAGCCAAUAAAAAGGGAAAAGUAGAAGAUAAGUAACAGUAUAGAUGAGAGAGGGAAGUAAUCUGUUGGAGAAGGUGUGAUGGGAUGGGAUUGCUUGUGUAGGUAGAAGGCUUUGCCUUGCUAAGAACUAGAGCCACCUCUUUGUGUGAGACAGAGGCAAAAGAAUAGAUAAUGGCAGAAGGCUUCUGAGUCAUAGAGAUGAGGAGGAGAAGAAAAUAACGAUCUUAAUGGAAUGGUCUCAAAUUCUUUUUUUUUGGCAAAAUAUGAGUCAAGGAUCUCAGCAAAGAGUGGGAAGCAUAGGAGAUUUGAGGAGGGAUGUAAAGGUUUGGAAGAGCUACUCUGGAGAGUGGGAUAGUGACUUAGAUCGUAGGAUUGCUUAGCAGCAGUUAGGGUCCAUUUGAGGUUGUAUAACAUAGAUUGUAGUGGAUCCGGUCAGAAUAUUGCAUAAUUGUCUCCACCUUUGUUAGGUAUAUAAGAGUAAAUGUGGCUGACAGAUUAUUCAAGACUGAGGCUUGGCAGUUGAAGAUAUGAUAAGGAGACCAGGGACUCAACUGAUUGAUCAAGGGUUCAAGAUGGGGGAAAAGAAGAGAGUCUAGUGCAGGAUCUAUGGCCUGGAAGUGAAGUGAGAGGCUGAGAGACUGGAGGUCACAAUAUGGAUUAAAAUAGGGUUUGGUAAGGAAAGAAGGAGAGAUGAAAAACCAUAGCCAGAGAAGAGGUUUUCAGAAUUCUUCAAUUGGAAAUGGUACCUUUGUGAAUAAAGGUAAAAAGCCAGGGUACACCAUUAUUGUUUAUAGCUGAUGUGGAGUAAAAGAGUAGCUUGUAGGAAUUGAGAGAGAGCAGAGCCAAAAUGGUAGAGAGUAGACAGGUCUUGAGCUCUUCUUGACUUCCCUCAGAUCAACAUCAUAUCAAGUCUCUGAACUGGUUUUGGAGUGACAGAACACACAAAUAUUUGGAACGUAACAAAUUUCCACAGAAGAUAUUUUUGAAGAACUUCAGAAAAGGUCUGUUUUAAUUGGGCACUGGGGGAGGUGGAUGAGGGCAGGGACAGUGCAGGGACCCAAGGUGGUGUGGCAUUCUGUGCAUUGGGGGGAUCUACUAUUAGGCUCUUAGCCAAAAUACAGCAGUCUUGGCUACUCUGUCCUGGUUCAGAAGCAAGUGGAAUAGCAGACUAGCUAUGAGACAUCCAAUUCCAAAAGGCAAACAAUGAACCCCAGAAUAAGGAGAGAAUUGGUCACAUCCACCCAAUACAGGAAGGAAGUCAGUAGCAUUGGCCUCAUGGCAGCAUGAAGCUGCUCUUGCCUGUAGAGAAACCUUGGGACAAUCUCCUUUUUGCCCUAAGAGCAGACCUCAAUCUUUAAAAAUGAACAAAAAGCAAAAAGAACUCUGACCAUAGAUAGCUUUUAAUGGAGACAUAGAAGAACAGACUUCAAACCCUGAGGUCACCAGACAAAGCCCCAAAGGGUGAUAUGAAUUGGUCUCCAUCUCACAAGGCUCUCUUGAAAGAAUAAAAAAAAAAGGAGUUGAGUAGAUUAAGGAACUGAGUGGUUAGAGUGUUUGAGAGAGAAUAUGUAUGUCAAAGUCUCCUAGAAUGGGGAGAAGAGAAAAAUGAUGAAUUAGGAAAAGAACUCAAUGAAGGAGGAAGAAGAAUGACCUAGAAGUCUACAAAUAAUAGCUAGAGAAUUCUGAUUGGGCCUCAAAGGAAAAAAGGUUACCCGAGAGAUGGAGAUAAGGAGAGAACCUGGACAUGGCAAGAGGAAGAAAGGAGUAUUUCAACUCCCUUCCACUUCAACCAGUGAGCCUAGAGGAAUGAAUGAAAGUCCAAUCAGUACUAGAAAGGAGGGUUGUGGAAGUUUUAUCUUCAGUGAAGAGCCAGGUCCCAGUAAUUUCUAAAAAAUGGAAAGAAUGGGAGAGAAAAAAAAAAUUUAAUGAAAAAAAUGUUUGUUGCCUAUGGAGCAGGUAUUCCAGAGAGCACAACGAGAGGAGUAGGUUACAUUUGGUUGGGAUUUUGGAUUAAGAUUUUGGAUUAAAAGAGGUGGAAAUAAAUUAUCAGGUGGCAGGGGGAUGAGGAAUAGUGAUGAUGACCUUGAUAACCUACAGGGAUUUAGAUGAAAAUCCAGGAUAUGUAGGAAGGAAGAGUAUUUUAAUUAUUUUUAAUACACAUUGUUUUAUGAAUUAUGUUGGGAGGGAAGAGUAUUUUAUUCAUGGAGUGGAAGGUCCUCCUCUUUCUCCCAAAAGAGGCUAGAGAUCAGUUAAAAGAAAUUCAAAGCCCCAGAUGGAAGGUGUUUGGUCAGAUGGAAGUUCCUAUUUCACUUCUCUUCUAUCUGAAGUCUGGAAAUUAGACAGAAGAUGGUGCAGCAGGAGGCAGUGUGAUAGGAGAUGGAAAUUGAACCUCCCUCAGCAGGAGCUGGAUACCCCACCAACUUUCUGCUUCCUCUUCCCUCAGGACACAGGCACACCUGAAGAUGGAAGAUUAGCCACCAUAAGUGAAGGUCGCUCCUCUUCAUCUGGAGAUCAGGCAAUCAAAGCAGAAGAUGGAAACUGCUGUGCUCUGGUGCAGAUGGAAAUCACCCUUUGUUCCUUUCCCUCAGGGGAUAUACACAGCAGGAGACGGAAAGCAUGUGGUCAAAAGAAGGUGGCCCGCCUCUCACAACCCAUGCCUGGAAUGUUCUCCCUCCUUACCUCCACCUCUCAAGAUCCUUCAUUCUCUUCAAGAUUCAUCUCAAGUACCAGCUGCUUGCUAUACACAGGCUUUUCUGAUUACUCACUCUUGUAACCCAUCCUCCCAAAUUACUUGGUGUUCACCUUGUGUACUUUCUUAUCUGCAUAUAUGUCGUUUUCCUCCAACCAGAAAUUGCUUUUGUAUUCCCAGCACCUAGCACAGAUCCUGGCAUAUAGGGGGUAAUGACAAAAUACUUACAAGGCAUCAGAUAACGAGUCCAUCACUGGGAGAGUGCUCAAAGCCUUUCUCUUUCGGCGGCUGCUACCUGGUGGGAUAUCCCACAAGAACUCAGCAUCAUUUUUACCCCAUGGGAGAGACAUAUCUUAGUGGAGGUGAAUAAUAGCUUUCACAUAAUACAGUAGCUGGUUAAAGUUUACCUUUAGAAGAAAGACAGUGCAAAUAUUCUAGGUCCUAUUUUAAAGUUGAAGAAGAUGAGGUCAGAGUGGUGGAAUGUUGUACCUGGGGUUCUAGAGCUGGUAAUCAUUAGCAAUCAGGGCCUGCACUAGCAGGACGUGUGUCUGACUUCGGGACCAGUACAGUUUCCUCUAUACUGGGUUUCUUCAAUGAAUGAAUGAACAAAUGAACGAAUGAAUGAAUGAAGGUGAUAUUCACGUUUUGUCCAGUCAUUAGAAACACCUGACCCCUUGACCGCUGGCUCCAGCCUGUGCCUCGGCUCUCUCCUGCCCAGCCCACGGUGGGCAGUCCCCCUGUAACCAGAGGGGAGGGCAUCGGAGAUUCUUCACAGGUGUUUGCAGCUCCCGCCUCCCAUCCCACCCCCACUUUCCCCACCUGGGGGGAUGAAAGGUCCCAGGCAAGUAGAUCCUUCCUAAUUUUGGCAAACCCAGCGGGCAAGGGGGAGAGCUAUGCUUCUCCCCCCCGACUGUGGCUGAAAGGGAAACAGCUGGGGUUGGCUAGCCAGCCCCGGCUCCUGCGGCACACGGCCCAGCCCCUGAUGGCAGCCGAACGCCUUUCAUCCUCAGCACUAUUGUUCAGAAUUAGCGGAGCUGCCAUUCAGGGCUUCAAAUGCAAAACCGCUCCCUGCCGGACAGGAGCCAGGGGGAGCCAGGGGAGCUGAGUGGCCUCUGCUCAGCUUUUAAUAGACCAAAGGACCCUGGCAGUUUAGCUCUUUUUCCUAAUUUAAAGCUAUUUUCAGUCGUUUGGAAACUCCCCUGUGGUGGAGCAAGAAGGCCAGGAGAGGGGGGUUGAGAGAUGGGGGACUUGAAACUCUCUUCUGGAUCUCCCCUUCCCUUUUCUACAAGAGGCUUGUCACAGGAUUGUCUAGGAAUGGGCUAAAAGCAAAAAAGCAGAGGAGAAUGUCUGUGUUUGGGAAGAGGAUCCAGGUUACUGGGGCUCAGGCCUCUGGGUCAGGGGUCCAACACUGGAGAGGAACACAAAAUUUAGAGCUGGAAAGGACUCUCAGACAUCAAUUAGCUUAGCUCUCUCAUUUUACAGGUCAAGAAACUGGGCCCAGAAAGACCAUAUAGACUCAUCCAAUGUCACAGAUAGUAAAUUUCAGUCAGGAUUUUCAAGUCCAGGGCUCUUUGGGCUACACCAUAACACCAAGUGCUUCUUUUAGUCACCCACUUGAUCCUGCUUCUGUUCCAUAGCUAAGAGCAGAAUUCAAAGGUCACCACCUGCUCUGCCAGUGGGCUGCAGCCUGUCUAGAAAGAUCAAAUUGAAUUCCUCUUUCUAUCUUAAGAAAGGACAGCCCUUUGGGACAAGCUCCGAGAUGGAGGUUGCAUGCGGUCAACUGAAGAGGUAACAAUGAAAAUUGAAAAUCUCAUUUUCAAGUCUGAAGCUUUGAAUUCAAAUCCAGCCUCAGUCACUAUCUGUGGAGCCUUAGGAAAGUUUGUUUUCUUAUCUGUAAAACAGCUGCUAAAGAUCUUUCCAGCUUUAGAGUGAUGAUUUUAUAAUUUAAACCUCCAAGUCUUCUUCCCAAUCUCCUAAACCUAGGGAAAGGGAAAUUACCGAGAAAGAAAGAUAACCAAAUCAUCCAACAAGAAGGGAGAAAAAAGUCCAAGUAUUUCAUGAUUAAAUAUUGCAACACUAGAAA